CAGCAGCAGCCACGGGAAUACAGAGGGUGCAAGCGUUAAUCGGAAUUACUGGGCGUAAAGCGCGCGUAGGCGGCUUUUUAAGUCGGAUGUGAAAUCCCUGAGCUUAACUUAGGAAUUGCAUUCGAUACUGGGAAGCUAGAGUAUGGGAGAGGAUGGUAGAAUUCCAGGUGUAGCGGUGAAAUGCGUAGAGAUCUGGAGGAAUACCGAUGGCGAAGGCAGCCAUCUGGCCUAAUACUGACGCUGAGGUACGAAAGCAUGGGGAGCAAACAGGAUUAGAUACCCCUGUAGUCCCUGUCUCUUAUAA
rnacentral:rRNA from 1 species